UACGUAGGGGGCGAGCGUUGUCCGGAUUUACUGGGCGUAAAGCGCGCGUCGGCGGUACUCUAAGUCCGGGGUGAAAGGCGGGGGCUCAACCCCCGAGCGGCGCCGGAAACUGGAGGGCUUGAGUGUCGGAGAGGGGAGUGGAAUUCUCGGUGUAGCGGUGAAAUGCGUAGAGAUCGAGAGGAACACCCGUGGCGAAGGCGGCUCCCUGGCCGAACACUGACGCUGAGACGCGAAAGCGUGGGGAGCGAACGGG
rnacentral:rRNA from 1 species